GCAGUGAAUUGGUGGCGGCAGGUGUAAGUAAUUGCUGAGAUUUGGGUUUGGGGAGUGGGCUCACGAGUGUUUAUGACAUUAUUAUAAAUGAAUAUAUGAGUGCAUAAAUUAGCAAAAUAAAAGGGGGCUUUUCUGGACCAAUGAUGAGACAGUGUUUAUGAACAAAAGAUCAUGAUUAAUCCAGUUCUGCACAAAACACUGAGGUCCAUUAGAAGACAAUAGGUCUUGGCUGUUUCAUUCCUUUUAAGAGCUGUUUAAUAUUCCACGGAGCCCUGGGCUCCCCCAGUGUUGCCUGGGUCUGACUUUGCCUCAGUGAAAACUGCCUCGAAUUCUUUCUUGCACCGAUGGGCAGAUGGGCAGUGUCGGAGGAUCGUGUCAUCUGUCCCGUGGCGCUGGUUGGCUUGGUCAAGUCAGUGUUCAAACUAUCUCCUGCUCUUUCAAGGGGAUCUGGGGCUCUAGAAGAUUAGAGGACUUGGAGAGGUUAGUGACUUGCUCGAGGUCGGCUAGGAAGCAAGACCCAGGAUUCCAACUCAGGUCUGUGUGAUUCCUCUGCAAAAUGGAGAGGUGGAAGGAUGGAUGUCAGGUCUGAUGGAUGGAUGGAUGCCUACAUCAAGAUACAUGCAUAGAUGGAGAGAUGGCUGGCUACCUCAUGAAUGCUGGACUGUUGUGAGAAUCAAACGAGAUAAUGUAUGCUGAGGCAUGCUGUGAACACUACGUGCUGGGUACAGGAGAAUGGAGGCUCCAGAGUGAAAUUAAUGACACUUUGUCGAUGAAGAUCUUGAUUGUGACCUCUGUGGAAAAUGAGCCAUGAACCAACCAAUGAUAAGUCUACUUUUCUUCCACGUAACAACCACAGGAUAGAUGACAUUCAUUUUCUAAGAAACAAAAUCUUGGCAGUUAGAUCCGUGGGGUAAAGAAUAUAGAUACUAAUCCUGAGAGAAUAUGGAAGACACUGUCAGUGUUGGAAGAUGGUGGUUUUAUCACUUUUCAUUGCACUGUCUUUAAAACAUGGGCAAAUUGACUAAAAGAAGACUACAGAAGAAAUAAUGGUGAUUGUGAAUUUGAAUGAAAACCAUGUAGCUGGUCUUAUUAUUCUCUAAUCAUGAAGACCAUUAUUGUUAUUUGUGGACUAAGGAGCAGAAAGACUGAUAGUGGACAUAGGCCAGCUGAUUUAAUAAUUUAAGAAAGAACUGUUAUCCUGAGUAAGGAGCAUAGAGACAAAUAUAAAAUGAACGCACUCUACCUGAUUUAAUUAUAGUCUUCUGGUGAAGAUCUUGCUGUUAUCUCUGUGAAUCAGGAGAGAAGAGAUUGAUAAGGAAUAGACGAGAUUGGAUUUGGUCAUUUCCCCAAGGUGAAGAGCAUGGCGAUUUCUUCUGUGGUAAGGAGCAAUAAUGAAGACCAUGGUUGAUUUAAUCAGUCUCUGCUGAUGAAGAUCUUGGCUGUUACCUUUGUGUAAUGAAUGCGCAAUGAUUCAAUUAUUCUCCAGCGAGGAAGAUCAUGGUUGUUGUCUGUUUGAGUAAUGAGUGUAGAAACCUAUAAUGGAGGCGUGAUGGCUGAUGCAAUCAUUUUCCACUGAUGAAGGUUUUGAUGGCCACCUGUAAUGAACAGCCCCAUCUGAUUUAAUCACUGUGCAAUGACCGUGAACUGUACAGUUACCUCCGUGUGUCACAGGAAGACUCUUGUGAGUAGUAGUUAAAAUUCUUGUUUUGUUUUAAGGGUAUUCUCUGUAUUCUUAAGAAGUCUAAAAUAUAAUCAAAUAAGGUCAAGCAUUUUUAUUAUUCACUACCUAAGUACAAAUUUAUUCUUAAGACUUCCCUAUUCAUAGCUAUUUAUUUUAUGAUUACAGCACUAUUAAUGAAUUGAUUAAUCAAAAAACGAAUGUAGAUAGACAUGAAUGAAGAAAGAUAGAGUCAAUCUUGGACCUAUGAUGAUGACUGGUGGCGUAUGAGUCAUUGACGGUGAAUACAGGUCUGGAAGUCUGAGGUCCAAUAUAAUAAAAAAUCUAGUCUUCACCUUCUAUCCUAGGGAUAGACAUUAGGAAUAUUUGAGGAUGUUGUUCUUGGUCUUCACGUUCAUGCAUUUUCCCUCUAUUUUUAUAAUUGGAUCAAUGAAUC
rnacentral:lncRNA from 1 species